rnacentral:rRNA from 1 species
AUUGAACGCUGGCGGCAGGCCUAACACAUGCAAGUCGAGCGGAUGAAGGGAGCUUGCUCCUGGAUUCAGCGGCGGACGGGUGAGUAAUGCCUAGGAAUCUGCCUGGUAGUGGGGGAUAACGUCCGGAAACGGGCGCUAAUACCGCAUACGUCCUGAGGUAGAAAGUGGGGGAUCUUCGGACCUCGCGCUAUCAGAUGAGCCUAGGUCGGAUUAGCUAGUUGGUGGGGUAAAGGCCUACCAAGGCGACGAUCCGUAACUGGUCUGAGAGGAUGAUCAGUCACACUGGAACUGAGACACGGUCCAGACUCCUACGGGAGGCAGCAGUGGGGAAUAUUGGACAAAGGGCGAAAGCCUGAUCCAGCCAUGCCGCGUGUGUGAAGAAGGUCUUCGGAUUGUAAAGCACUUUUAGUUGGGAGGAAGAGCAGUAAGUUAAUACCUUGCUGUUUUGACGUUACCAACAGAAUAAGCACCGGCUAACUUCGUG